CUGCCACAACAAGUCACACAUCAACAUCUUUGUUACAUUCAUCGCAAACACCAAAGUAAUUGUUCAAGAAUUGACCUUAGUCACAAAGGUAUCUUAGAUAAAAUAAACAGAUAGAUAUUUCACAUCCCUGUCUAAAAGUGACGUUUGUCACCAAACUAAUAGUCCUAACAGACAGUGCUAGCAACUAAUUAUUCUUGGUGCCAGGAGCAAAUAACUGAAGUUGCUGAAUCUCUCCAUGUCCUGCAAAUGCACAACACAUUAGAAACAGCCAUCACUUGUUGAAACAAAUAAAAUUAUCUAUAAAGAACGUUACAUGUGUACUGCUAGAAGAAAUCAAGCAACAACAAUCUUUUCCACUUUAACAUAUAUUUGAGCAUUUAUAGGAAAUACAUUAAUUCACACUGAACAUUCUCACACCAAGAAUAAAGUUUAAAUUCCUCUAGUCAAUACUGAAAACUUAGUACAUAUUGACACAGUCACAACUACAAAUGCAAAUACUGAAUUGCUAAAAAUUGUAAAGCAGAGGAUAGGUGAGCUGAGCUAUUGCCAACAGCCUGCCAACUGCAUCAAUGUGAUUGAACAUGCUUCAGGAAACUACAUGAUGCAAUGGCGUGCUCAGUUAAGAUGCAUUCGUAACUAUAUUAUCUAAACUCUAAAUUAGCAUGCUAAGUGACAUGAUGCAGUAAAGUAUUUUCUAGGCUGCUCACUUGGUAUUCUUGUUGACAGCUUCAGUUGGCAAAGGGGAAGUCUAAGAGCGAGUACCAGCAGCAGCCUCAGAUUAUUAGUAGUUGAUGAUGUGCAGAGAAGCAAAUGAUAAGUUCCUAGACAGUUAUUAUUAGCCUCACAUUGCUCUACUGUCUAGCAUUUUAGUUGCUGCACAGAACAUUGACAAACACUGCUGUUAUCACAGAGCCACUACUGAACAUAUUUUUCGAUACUAAAAACAACUUUGCUGUUUAUGCAUGAAACAAUAUUUCAGAGUGAAGUUUCCUAUUGGCUCUAAAAUAAAAGUCAGGGGUUGUCAUAAGUUAACAACCUAGAGCUGUUGUGAGGAAAGCUCUUCAUUUUUCUCAGACCAUCUCGUGAAAAUCCUUGCAUUAAUCUUUAUAUACUCCUAAUCUUAUUUCUUUUUGAAAUACUAUUAACACUCUCGCUAGGAAGUAGUUGAACAAAUAUUACAAUCUGCAUAAUCUUAGUAUAAUCUGUUUCAAGCCACAUUAAUGACCAUGAAAAUAAUAUGAUUGAUGACCAUGAGUGAUAAAGCAAACAUUGGGUAGUGUUUUCAUGAAUGAAACAAAUGUCACAUGAAAAAUUACUUUGUAUCUGACAGUGUUCUCUGAGGAUUUGGUUUUCUAGAACGCCAUAUCUAUAAAUCGAUAGCCCAACAAGAAAUAGGAAGGCCACACCUUUUAGAAUCCCUGCUAUGAUGGCUUCUUUCUAGCUUUGAUUUCCCUGCAAGCAAUCAUGUAUUGAGAACUCUGAACUAAAAAUAAAAUAGGACUGGACAUAAAUUAAAUCCAAACACAAGCUAAUUUGGAGCAAAACCAAACUCUGAAGCAAAUAAAGGGAUACUAACUUCCCAAAAUAAUACAAAAAAACUCAAAAUUGGAUUUUAUGAAACAUACACAGAUACGAUAAAAGAAAUUUUAGGCAUAUCAAUAAAAAUAUUUGUUUGAGCAAUAUGGUCUUGUUCUGCACAUGCUAAAAUUAGGAACUUUCUCAAGCACCACAUCCUAACAUAUGAAAUUCUAGGCACAUAAAAAGAAAUAUUAAAGUUGGUUGUAGAGGGAUAUUAUGAGUGCACAUCAAUGGAUAAUGUGUGUGAGUUAUCAUGUUUCAUUUUUCAUCUCUAACUGUAGAUUAAGCUUGCUACUACUGUCAAUAUUAAAAAAAAACAGCAGGCCACCUUGUUCUCAUGGCUAUUCAAGAUUACAGAAUUGGUACAGAGAAAGACGAUGAUAUAGCAGUCCGGUGAAGCACCUUAAUGUGGAGAAAGUUGUUUUCCAAUCAGCCAUGUUUUAUGUUUAGAACUCAUUAUGGACAAACAAGAAACAAAGUUUUUUUUCAUCUUCAGACCUUUAGAAAACUUACCAAAAUUCACAUGCAUUUGUGAAUUGAUGGGCUUCAUCAACUCUUCUAUUUGUAAAUAUCCACUCUGACCCAUCCUGCAAUAACACAGAAAGACAAAAAACUAUCACAUUUCUCAAAGACUAAAAAUACUAUUGUUAUCCGCCCUCCUAAC
rnacentral:lncRNA from 1 species